rnacentral:rRNA from 1 species
AGUAAAAGUCGUAACAAGGUUUCCGUAGGUGAACCUGCGGAAGGAUCAUUAAAUAUCGGUAGUUUACUAUCGUUUGAGGGGUGUGGAAACUGCCUUUAAAGCAGGAGUACGUGCCUUUUCUUAACCCUUGACUUUUUGCGCACUUGUGUUUCCUCGGCAGGCUUGCCUGCCGAUUGGACAAAUCAAUAACCUUUUUAAUUUUGAAUCAGCGUCUGAAUUAUUUUAAUAAUUACAACUUUCAACAACGGAUCUCUUGGUUCUGGCAUCGAUGAAGAACGCAGCGAAAUGCGAUAAGUAGUGUGAAUUGCAGAAUUCAGUGAAUCAUCGAAUCUUUGAACGCACAUUGCGCCCCUUGGUAUUCCAUGGGGCAUGCCUGUUCGAGCGUCAUUUGUACUCUCAAGCCUUGCUUGGUGUUGGGUGUUUGUCUAUGCUUAGCCUAGACUCGCCUUAAAUAUAUUGGCAGCCGGUAUACUGGCUUGAAGCGCAGCACAAUUGCAAUUCAGGUUGGCUUAUUAGCAUCCAUAAAGAUCAUCAACACUUUUGACCUCGGAUCAGGUAGGGAUACCCGCUGAACUUAAGCAUAUCAAUAAGCGGAGGAAAAGAAACCAACAGGGAUUGCCUUAGUAACG